rnacentral:rRNA from 1 species
CCUACGGGGGGCAGCAGUGAGGAAUAUUGGUCAAUGGGCGCGAGCCUGAACCAGCCAAGUAGCGUGAAGGAUGACUGCCCUACGGGUUGUAAACUUCUUUUAUAAAGGAAUAAAGUGAUGCACGUGUGCCUUUUUGUAUGUACUUUAUGAAUAAGGAUCGGCUAACUCCGUGCCAGCAGCCGCGGUAAUACGGAGGAUCCGAGCGUUAUCCGGAUUUAUUGGGUUUAAAGGGAGCGUAGAUGGGUUGUUAAGUCAGUUGUGAAAGUUUGCGGCUCAACCGUAAAAUUGCAAUUGAUACUGGCAGUCUUGAGUAUGUUUGAGGUAGGCGGAAUGCGUGGUGUAGCGGUGAAAUGCUUAGAUAUCACGAAGAACUCCGAUUGCGAAGGCAGCUUACUAAGCUGCAACUGACACUGAUGCUCGAAAGUGUGGGGAUCAAACAGGAUUAGAUACCCCUGCAGUC